GAUGAACGCUGGCGGCGUGCCUAAUACAUGCAAGUCGAGCGAACAGACGAGGAGCUUGCUCCUCUGACGUUAGCGGCGGACGGGCGAGUAACACGUGGAUAACCUACCUAUAAGACUGGGAUAACUUCGGGAAACCGGAGCCAAUACCGGAUAAUAUAUUGAACCGCAUGGUUCAAUAGUGAAAGACGGUUUUGCUGUCACUUAUAGAUGGAUCCGCGCCGCAUUAGCUAGUUGGUAAGGUAACGGCUUACCAAGGCAACGAUGCGUAGCCGACCUGAGAGGGUGAUCAGCCACACUGGAACUGAGACACGGUCCAGACUCCUACGGGAGGCAGCAGUAGGGAAUCUUCCACAAUGGGCGAAAGCCUGACGGAGCAACGCCGCGUGGGUGAUGAAGGUCUUCGGAUCGUAAAGCUCUGUUAUUAGGGAAGAACAAAUGUGUAAGUAACUAUGCACGUCUUGACGGUACCUAAUCAAAAAGCCACGGCUAACUACGUG
rnacentral:rRNA from 1 species